AUCAUUCUACAUGCUCUUGCCUUUUUUUGAAGAUUUGAACGGUUUGGAGAGCGUGGAAUUCUGAGUAGAAGGGAAAAUGAAGACUUUAUCGAAGUACAGGACCGAAGGAUCGAGAGGAGUCGGCAGCGUUUGGCAGUUUAAUAAAGGAUCGACCUUAUUGAGUCUUCGUCGGAGGAGUAGCGACCUGCAUCGAGAUAACUCUUGCCAAAAGAGCAAAGAGUUCAUGCAAAAGUUUGCUUUCUCUAAAAGAAUUUAAGAGGUACAGUGCCGAACGGGUCCUUCCGGUCCACUGAACUGCAUGCCCAACAAGCCACUGAUUGAACACUAACCUGAACAAAGGACAAUUUAAAAUGACCAAUUAACCUACAAUCCAGUAUGCCUUUGGACUGAGGGAGGAACUGGAUCACCCGGAAGAAACCCAUGUGCUCAUGGGAAGGACGUACAAAUUUCUUACAGAAGGUGCUGGAGUUGAAUUCUGAAGUCUGACACUCUUGAGCUGUAAUAGUGCCAUGCUAACCUUUAACCAUGUCUAAUUCGGUAGUAUUAUAAUAAUGCAAGUUAUCCAAUGGGUAAUUUUAGUAGCUCAAUUAUGUUAAGCAAGUAUUUGGAAAUAGCCUAUACCCAAGACAAAACUGUCCACUGGAACUGCAAGAGAUAUAGAAGCUUAUUGACGUUAGACUUCAGAAAUUAUACAUGUAUCUUCUUGCACAGAUCAAUAUCGUUCUGCCAGGAAUCGAAUGUAAGCAACACAUCCCACUCUAGGCAAUCAGCACUGCAGCUCUGCUCCUUGUCUGCACACAUACUCUCACAACUUCACAUCAUUUUAGCUUCUUUUGCUGCCUUAUCUGCUUUGGUUCAGUUGGGACAGGGUAACAGUCCAGAGCUUAAACUUGGACACAUUAAGAAUUUAGCGAGAUAAAUAUUCAGAGGUACUUCAAUGCAAAAUGCAGCCUGUUCUCAGUCUCUGAAUCUGAAUUUAACCCGUUCGGAGUUAGCGGCUGAAUAACGGCAUUUGGUGAAAGAAAUUCACAGCCCUGUAGAGCUGCCCCCAAAUGAAUCACAGUGCUCCCAACAUCAAAGGCAAAUUCUCUGUUCCACUCUUAUUCUAUUGCCUCAUCAUUACUAAAGGAAUUGAGAUAAAAACAAUGAUCAGUCAAUUAUAGAACAUUAAAAAUCCACCAUCCCAUGAAGUAAGGGUGAGUUGUUUUUCUGGUUGACUGCAAAUCAAGGAGGGGCUUUUUGCAUAUGCAUUGAUCUAGAUAUCAUUCUCUGCAUUACUAAACUGUUACAAAAAAGAAUCAGAACUGAGCUCUUCACUUGCUUCAAAAAUUCCUUCAACUUGCUUAAUUAGUUCCAAAGAAUGAAACAUAUGCAUUUAAAAUGCUUGUGGUUGAAGCAAAUCAAAAUCUAAAAAUCAUAUGGUGUCAAGUCAAAAUAUAUUGUUGCAAAGAUGGACAGAUGAAAGAUGAGAGGUUCUUUUUAUCUUUGAGUUGUGUGUUAGUGCUGGCAGUGAAAUAACAACAGAAAAUGCUGCAAACACUCAGCAGGUCAGCCAGCAUCUGUGGAGGAAGACCCAGAGUUCAUGUCUCAGGCCAGUGACCUUUCAUCAAUACUGGAAUAUGUUGGAAAUGUCUGGCAGAAAGAAGAGCGGUUAAUUCUUCAAGAUGGACAUUGCCGAAAGUGACGUGGCAGUGAAUUAAGAAAGAGCAUGGAAAUCUCAUUAGCUGCAUUUUGUGUUACUCUGUUGCAGUACAGUGUCAACUUUAUCUUCACUGUGAAUACUUAAUGAAAGGAUUGGCGGGGGGAGAGGGUUGUGAGAACAGAUGAAGCCAAUUUAUUCUUAUCAGAAUCAAAUAGUUUUUAGACCAAAACUUGGAUUUAAGAGUCAAGAACUUCUGUGGGGUGGUGCUACUUUAACCAACUCAUUUAAUCAAAAAGAGGCUAAACAAGCACAUAAAUUGGGAGAAUUUCGGUCACAGGUUUAGGCAAGUUGUGCUGGAGGAUGCCCUUGCCUAAGAAUUGUCUAUGCUUCCCCAUGGGGAUAAAUGUAUUACCACAGUAUGUCAAGUCAAAUUAAGUUUAUUGUCACAUAAAUGGACAGUUACGCACAGCUGCAAUGAAAACCUUACUUGUAGCAGCAUCUCAUACACACACACAUAGAUUUAG